rnacentral:rRNA from 1 species
GAUCUGGCUCAGGACGAACGCUGGCGGCGUGCUUAACACAUGCAAGUCGAACGAAGAGCGAUGGAAGCUUGCUUCUAUUAAUCUUAGUGGCGGACGGGUGAGUAACGUGUGGGCAACCUGCCCUAUACUGGGGAAUAAUCACUGGAAACGGUGACUAAUACCGCAUGUCAUCACGAGAAGGCAUCUUUUUGUGAGAAAAGGAGUAAUUCGGUAUAGGAUGGGCCCGCAUCUGAUUAG